UACGGGGGGAGCAAGCGUUGUUCGGAUUUACUGGGCGUAAAGGGCGCGUAGGCGGCCACCGCAAGUCAAUUGUGAAAUCUCCGGGCUUAACUCGGAAAGGUCAACUGAUACUGCGGGGCUAGAGUGCAGAAGGGGCAACUGGAAUUCUCGGUGUAGCGGUGAAAUGCGUAGAUAUCGAGAGGAACACCUGCGGCGAAGGCGGGUUGCUGGGCUGACACUGACGCUGAGGCGCGAAAGCCAGGGGAGCGAACGGG
rnacentral:rRNA from 1 species